rnacentral:lncRNA from 1 species
UUAUUUGUAUUCGUCAUAUUCACAUUAAUUUAUGGUAUAUUAUAUGUAAAUCUUUUUAAAUAUUUUUCUUCUCCAUCACCAAAUUUUAGGUUUCUUCAUCACUAAGCAACAAAGUGAAAAAACUAUAAAUGAAUGAUUCAUAUUAUAUAUAAAUGCGUAACAAUUGAAAUUACAUAAUCAAGAUCAAUAUUAUUGGUAUUUGUCAUAUUCACACUAUAAUAUGGUAUAUUAUAUGU